rnacentral:rRNA from 1 species
GACGAACGCUGGCGGCGUGCUUAACACAUGCAAGUCGAACGGAAAGGCCCUGCUUUUGUGGGGUGCUCGAGUGGCGAACGGGUGAGUAACACGUGAGUAACCUGCCCUUGACUUUGGGAUAACUUCAGGAAACUGGGGCUAAUACCGGAUAGGAGCUCCUGCUGCAUGGUGGGGGUUGGAAAGUUUCGGCGGUUGGGGAUAGACUCGCGGCUUAUCAGCUUGUUGGUGGGGUAGUGGCUUACCAAGGCUUUGACGGGUAGCCGGCCUGAGAGGGUGACCGGCGAGAUGGGGGCGGAGAUACGGCCGAGACGCCGACGGGAGGCAGCAGUGGGGAAGAGUGGACGAGGGGCGGCGGCCUGAUGCAGCAACGCAGGGUGCGGGAGGACGGGCUGAGGGUGGUAGACCGCUAACGCCUGGGACGAAGCGUGAAGGACGGUAAGGUAUAGAGGGACACCGGGGAGGUACAUU